AUACGUUUCACAAUUGAGAGAACACAUUACAUGAACAAAUCGGGUUCAACAUUUGAUUAGCACGGGAUCCUGACGCGAUCUUUAGAAAUACUACGAGGGACAAAAUAGUUCAAGUAGGUAAUUAUAUUUCAGAAUUAAUGACAGGUACAUAGCUACUGAGGAACUAAUCUUUUCAAUAAUCUUGUAUAAAGUAGAAGGGAAGAGGUAUGUAACUCGUUUUUUCAAUUGUUAAUUUAUAUAUAAGAACUACAUUCGCGUAAUAAUCUAACACAAGACGAUUCAGCGUGAAAUUACUGUCAACAAACCCACGUGGAGCACAAAUUAUUUACAAUGGUUGAAUGGAAGUGACAGACCCUCUUUUCAAAAUAAGCAAGGAUGGGCCAAAACUGUAAAAUUUGGACAGAAGUUAAGACACAAGCAUAAGAACUACAUUGUAUUUUGUGUCCCUACGGAGGCAGCUAACAGAAAAUGGUAUAUAAAUAAGAUUGAACCGUGAAUUUGCUCUGUGUCACCUCUAAAUAGCAGCAGAAAACUCAACUCUGCACAACCAGAAAAACUUUUCUGAAGAAAAUUCUGCCAAGAGACAGUUGUGGGGGAAAUGGUGUAGAUUAUCUCCAGAAAAGAAAUGAACACUGAUAUUGGGAUGUAUGUAGCAACAUUUUACAAGGACUUGCCAUGGUAGAAGCUCUCCUGAAAAAAUAUUCAAUUUAUUGUGGACAUCAUGACACAGAAUUAACCUGUCAUCAGCAUUAGAGACUUGUGAUUUUUUCUACCUGGGCCAUACAUGUAUUAAAUAAAAACAAUUCAUAGAACCACAAGCACAUUGUAAAUCUAUGUAAGGUCUUCUAUGUAUGUUGCAUCCUUAUUUAAUUUGCUGUUUUAUAACAAGACUUUGUUUCAUUGGUACUAAAACUUAAUACAAAAAGCAGUUGUGAUAUUUAUUGUUUUCUAUUACUCAUUAGUACUCAUUUUUGUGUGAAAUUUUGUAAUUAUCCAUUUCUUGUUCCCCAAAACCAUAUCUAACAAAUGUUAUGUAUUGCAACUUUCAUUUCGAAUUUAACUUGUUAUACAUG